CAUAUGAUCUUCCUGCAGAUGCCA
rnacentral:siRNA from 1 species